rnacentral:miRNA from 1 species
UGGAAUCGGGCCUUAAAAGGCGGUUUUCCACUAGGCGAAAUUUUUCGACCGAAUCGAAAUUUCUCUUUGUUUCAGAGCUCUUGAGCAGAACUAAUUGUAAAAAGACAAAGAGAAAUUUCGUUUCGGUCGAAAAAUUCCGCCUCGUGGAAUCAGGCCUUAAUGCCCACGAGAUCA